AUGGGAGGAGCCCAUUCGGGGCUGGGAAAUCGGGCCCUUUGGACUCAACGCGGUCCUGUCCAGGGAGGGAGGGCUCAGAGCCGUGUGGGGCAGGACAGUCCUGCCCGUCUGCAGGGAAGGAGGCUGGAGGCCCGCGGUUGCCACACGUUCCUCCCUGGCAGGCCCUCUGCUGCAGGCGUUGUGGCUGGACCCCUUCCGGGAGGAGGGAGGGGCUUCCCCCCUUUCCUGCAGGUGGCUGGCUGGCGGGUCCUGGCUGGAUCUGGGUUCUGUCCUGCUUGCCCUCAUCAUCCUUCCCUGGUCACCUUGGGGUUGAUUUGGCCACUCUGGCUCAGACAUGGUGUGUUGGGGGGGCACCACCUUGCCAGCAGGAUGUCCUCCGCCCCCCACCCCCCGCCCCCAGUCCUGCUGGGCUCCUCUCCCAUUGUGCUUUUCUUCUGCACCCUGUGGCCGGCGCAGGGACCGGCCAGCUGGGAGGUGUGCCCGCCUACUUUGGGCGAGUUGCUCCCCUGCCCUGUGAAUUGUGCCUGGCAGACGUGCCAAGACGUUCCCUCAGUAGGGCUGGCAUCACAGGUUCCCUGCUGCACGAAGGACCAGCUCUUGAAUGCGGCUGUUCCCUCCUCCUGCUCCUCCUGGUCGGUCGUUGUGCGUGGCUGCUCUCUCCCCACCUUUCCUCCUCCUCCUCCUCCUCCUGCUGCUGCUGGCCUGAAUCAAGGGCGCGCCAGCAUGAUUUGGCCAAGGCCUCCUCCCUUCACGAGCCUCCUCCGUCUGCUGAUUCUGAGCACCCUGGUCGGCCUCUGGGUUGCUUUCACUGCACUCUCCCCCCCCGCCCCGCCCCGCCUCGCGCUGCUUGACCCGGAGCUGCUUAACUGUGGCCACAAGGCUGCCUUUCGGAUUCAUGUGCUGAGGAUGUGCCCGCAGAAAGGGGUGCCUGCCAGAUCCACCACGGGUGGACAAGGUGGGCCGGCCGACUCCUAUAGGGUGGCUCCAGCCCCUGCCCACCCACCACCCUCGGCCGGCGUCCUUGGAAUGACCCUCGUGUACCUCAGGGGAAGCAGGAGGUGGUGUUCUUCCCCUUGGGCAUGGCUGGCUGGGAAUGGUGGAUCAAGCCAGUCCCAUUGGGGGGGGGGCAGGAAGGCUGCUCUUCCGCCUCUGCUUCCAGCGCUUGCCUUUUGA
rnacentral:lncRNA from 1 species